UAAUACGUAGGGUGCAAGCGUUGUCCGGAAUUAUUGGGCGUAAAGAGCUCGUAGGCGGUCUGUCACGUCGGAUGUGAAAAUCCAGGGCUUAACCCUGGACCUGCAUUCGAUACGGGCAGACUAGAGUUCGGUAGGGGAGACUGGAAUUCCUGGUGUAGCGGUGAAAUGCGCAGAUAUCAGGAGGAACACCGGUGGCGAAGGCGGGUCUCUGGGCCGAUACUGACGCUGAGGAGCGAAAGCGUGGGGAGCGAACAGGAUUAGAUACCCUGGUAGUCCACGCCGUAAACGUUGGGCGCUAGGUGUGGGGAACCUUCCACGUUCUCCGUGCCGCAGCUAACGCAUUAAGCGCCCCGCCUGGGGAGUACGGCCGCAAGGCUA
rnacentral:rRNA from 1 species